AUCUGGCAUUGCUGUGGCUGUGGCGUAGGCUGGUGGCUACGGCUCCGAUUAGACCCCUAGCCUGGGAACCUCCAUAUGCCACGGAAGCGGCCCUAGAAAAGGCAAAAAGACAAAAAGACCAAAAAAAAAAAAAAAAAACCUGGAUGUAUUAACCAUGGUUUCCAAGGAUCUACAGCUUUUGGAUCCCAGUUAUCCCUCUCCCUCUGAUCCCACCUCAAGCCACUCACUCCCAUGCCCCUCUGCUCCGGCAAUGAGGCUCUUGCCAUUCCUAGCACACACCAAGCUCUUGUCUGUCUCACGGACUUUCCACUGGAUACUUUCUCUGCCUGGAAUUCCAUUUCCACAAACUCUCUGAGUCUUAUCCUUCAUGUCAUUCUAGUCUCUAUUAAAAUACCACUUCCUCAGGCUUUCCUGUCUGUGCCAUCUUACACACACACACACACCCAAAACAAGCCUCUUAAGCUUAUCUUAUUCUGUAUUUUCUUCAUAGAAUUAAUGUGCAGGUGUCUUGAAGGCAGGGUGUUUUGUUUUUAUUCACUGGUAAAUCUUAACCACUUAUUAGCGUCCCUAGCAUAUAGUAGAUGCUCAACAAAUACAGGAAGAGUGAACCAAAAGUUUUAUGAUUAUAUUAUUUAUUUGUGUGUUGUCUGCUUAUCUCCUUCAUCAGAAUGUAAGCUUUUGCUCACAUGUGUAUUCUCAGUGCCUAGAAUAAUGGUAGGCAUAUAGUAGUCUCUCAAAAAAUAGUUCCUAAAAUAAUGAAUAAAAAGCCUUUCCUUUAUUUCUUCAUUUCUUUAAUCCUGAAGUUAAAGAUAUUUUAACUUUACCAUUUUAUGUUAAUAGGCAGUUAAACAUUUUAAACUCUCCUUGGGAAAACUAGAUAUCUGCUGUUAAAAAAAAAUCUAUUGAUAAUAUGCUGGGAAAAAAAUCUUAAGAGGCAAAAUUCAUGGACCCGUUUGAAUGUUUUCUACUUCUCAUGGAAAGACAUACAGAAAGAGCCUGUGAACUAUAAAAUAGCUGUCCCUUACUGUGUCUGCCAAUUGUCCUUGAUUAUAGUAUAUGUCAUUCAUUUUUUAAUUUAAAUUUGCCACCGUCCCUUACCAAAGAAUAUCUUACUAUUCAUUAUAUCUGGGGGAUUUUUAUGAUUUAUUAUAAUGGAGAGACUUGAAAAUGCUGAAUUGUAAAACUGGAAUGAUAAGAAGUUUCUACAAGUCAAAAUAAUGACUCUUCACAUUUCUGAGCCUCCUAAAUUCAAGUGUUUACUUUUUUGUCCAAAUCCAGAGACCCAUUUGAAUCAUUGGCUGUCUAUAUGCUACAUUUUUUUAAGUUUUUUGAAAGCGAGACUGCCCAUUGACAUUUGGCAUAUUAAAUAGGAAUCUUUAUAUAUAAAUGAUAAUAAAUGGUCCCUCUUUAUAAAAGAAAAGCUAUACCUAAUUAAGCAUCAUAUUCAAAUAUUAGGUACAUGGUGUAAGUUUGAAAGAAUAUUUUUUUAAUCAAUGUGCUUAAAGUUUUCAUCGUUGCGUCAGUGUCUAUCUAACUGGAUUAAUGAGUGUUAUUACUAAAGUGAUUCUUUUACAGGUUCAAAAAUACCAUUAAAACAUAUAUUUGCACAUUUGACUGCAAAGGAGACAGAUUAUAAAUGACUCCUGCUUGACUAUCAUGGCAGGGAAGACACUUGAUUGUAGAUCUACUUAUUUUAGUGUCUUAGAUGCAGAAUUAGCACAGAAAAUCAAGUUUCAGGCUUGGAUAAAAUUUUGAAUUCAGCACAUUUCUUCUUCUUAAGAAAGCAAUGAGUUGGAAAAAUGAUGAAAUUUUUCCCAAAAUACUGAAUUGGCUUCAAGACUUGCUUAGACCAGAGAAUCAGUCCAAUAAAUUGUGGAAAUGCUCUCCACGUGCUAAGAAAGCUGCUCGUGAGCUCCCUCUGUCUUCAUCUUUGCUACUGAGAACCUCACACCUUCCUGCUCAGAAUGUGACACAGCAUGGUUCUCCCUGGGGUCAAUUUCAUCAGCUCUGCCCUCUGCAUACCCCUUGUCACCUGUCACAAGCAGAUAGACAGCUGUUUGUCUUCCCUUCUGCUUCUUUGACAUGUUUUAUAAUAUCCAUUAUCAUAUUUAAUACUGUGCACAGAAAGUGCUUAAUAAAUUAUUUUUUAUUAUCAGUCUUCCUCUUCUGAGAAUCUUUGAAGGUCCCUGUCACACAGUAGUUACUCAGUAAAUACUUGGAUACAUUACAUUUUCUUACUUGAGUCUACUUUAUCUGGAGAAAGAAAAAAAAUUAAAUUCCAUUUUCUAAAAGUACCUUUGAGAAAAGCUUAUUAACUGUCACCUUAGAAUAUAAUGUAUAGUGUAUAAAUGAAAAAGUAGGGCAGAUAAAUUUAGUGCCUUUGGACUUUAAAGUAAAAAGUACAUGAUCCUUUUUUGCAUAGCAGACUGAAAAUGCAUGCUUUGGCUACAAUCCAAUAAAGGAAAAAUACACAUAUCCUCACAAAAUAAGGGCUUUUAAAAAUAUUUUGGACUAAUGUUUGCUAGGGAGAGUUUAAGGCGGUUUUGAUUCUGUUGAAGAUAGGAUUAUAUUUCCUUUAAUGGUGACUUUACUUGGUUUUCAUUUGUCACACAUGGGGAUUUUUAAAAUAGUAAAAUGAUGUUUAUAUUAGACUUUUGGAAGCUGGUUUGUUUGAUGUUGGGAAUUUUACUGUUAUAAUAAGUAUAACAAUCUACUCCCAUUCUCUGUGACUGUGUAAAAAGGACUAAUAUAAUACAUUAAAAAAUUGAGGUAAUCAAGAUUGAAUGAUUCUGGUUGUCUGUCAAAUCUCUUUCAGAAUUAGAUAAGAUGACUUUUAAGUUGCAUAAUUCAGGGAUUCCCACUGUGGUCUGGCAGAAACGAAUCCGACUAGUAUCCAUGAGGAUGCGGGUUCAAUCCCAGGCCUUGCUCAGCAGGUCAGGGAUCUGGCACUGCUGUGGGCUGAGGUGUCGGUCGCAGACAUGGCUUGGAUCCCGCGUUGCUAUGGCUGUGGCAUUUGCCAGCAGCUGUAGCUCCGAUUCAACCCCGAGCCUGGGAAUUUCCAUAUGCCGUGGGUGCAGCCCUCAAAAGCAAAACAAUAAUAAAAAUAAAAAUAAAUGUAUAAUUCUAACUGCAGUGAAAAUGUCCUUGGUUGAAAAUAUUUUAUAUCUUGAGGACUAUAGUGACUUCAUAGAUGCUACCGUGCUUAAUAUUACCCUAUAUGUAUAAUAUGAAAGUAGUUACUCAGUAGAUGCUUGGAUACAUUACAUUUUCUUACUUGAGUCUACUUCAUCUGGAGAAAGAAAAAAAAUUAAAUUCCAUUUUCUAAAAGUACCUUUGAUUUUUUCCUAUUAUUUUUUCCUUUUAUUUAAUUUUCACUGAUUCAAUAAACAUUUACUGGGUAAUUGGAACAUGAGAUAUAAAAACUAGCAUUUAUUGGAUUUCUAGUGCAGAUACCUAACAUAGUAGGCAAAAUAGACAUGUGUUUGUGUGUAUUUGUGUGUAUUUCUGAUAACAGCUCAUUAAAUGUGUUACUUUAUCAACUUUCAGCUAAUAGUAAGUGUAGAUUCAGAGGGUUAGAGUAUUAUGCCCAAUAGAAUAAAAGGUAUUAAAUUGAUGGAGUUAGAAAUAUAUAUACAUACAUGCACACAUAUACAAUACAUACUUAUGUAUAUACUUUUUUUGUUGGGAAUCCAGGGAUUGGUGUGUAAAGGGGGCAUUAGCAAAAAGCUUUUAGGUUAGAAAAAUCUAGCAAUGAAGGAUGACCAUUUUCAGAUAAGAAAUCCUUAGAAUUUUGGUAAGAUCAUGAUGUUUUGUGUUCAUGGAGAAAAUUUACUAUGAAGAUCACAUGGUCAAACCAAUAAAUCAAAACUGGCUGUAGGAGAUGUAACCACAAAAAGACAACCAGUCUAAGAGAAAUGCAGAGGCACCGAUACCCAAAAGCAAAGGUUCCACUGGCUUACAGACAUGCAAAAAAUCACAGAAUAGAAUAUCCAACCCCAGGGGUGUUUGAAGACAAAGAAAAUGUAGAAUUCUCAGGAGAUAAUUUUUACCCCACUUUCUCAGAAGGGACACCAAAUUAAGCACUCUCAACAUUCAGAAUCUUAUAAUGAAAGAAGUAACAGGUUAAAGGAAAGCAAAGGAAGAAGGCAAGAGAGGGAGGGAGGGAGGUGGGGAGGAAAAAGCACCCUACACUCUCCUCUAACACUGCUUCCCAGGUCAUUUCCAGAUGGGCUUGUCCGUCCCUAGUAUUAGAAACAGUGGGUGAAAAACAAUUCUUCUCUGAUCCAUUUUUGAUAACUAACCUAUCACUGAAGAGGAGGAGAGUCCUAACAUCAAAUAACAGGACGAAGUCUCUGGUUUCUCUAUUAUUUAUUUCCCCAAAUGGUUAUUUAGCUCCUGCUACAUGCCAGACAAUCUGCUAGACCCUGGAGAUGCAAAGAGUAGGCACAUGGGAGAGCACUGACAAAGGAAAGCAGGACCGUUUCAUUUUAUUUAUGUAGCUCUUGCAAAACCAUUUGCACUGCCAUUUUCAUUUAACUGAAAAAUAUCCUGAAAUUACGAGGCAGGUUACUUAAAGAAACAGUUACUAUUUGCAACAAUGCCAAUCUGAGUUUUCUUACCACAUCUGACUACAUUAUACU
rnacentral:lncRNA from 1 species